rnacentral:misc_RNA from 1 species
GUGAAUCAUCGAAUUUUUGAACGCAAAUUGCACUCUCUUGUAUGCCGGUGAGUAUUCUUGCGUUAGGUUUAGUUUAUUACAAAUCGUAGAUAUAAAUUUUUACGGAUCGUGGUUUUCCAAAAGUUAUUUUUUUGUUAUUCUAAAAUUUAUUAUUACAAUAUUUUAUAUUGUAAAUUUUUAUCUUUUAUUCAUUAACAAUUAUUACCAAAUUUGUUACGUCUUUUUAUUUUCCUAAUUUCUUAAUUGGUUAAAGUUAUUCAAUUUUUAAUUCUUACCUCCAGUCAAGUAAGAAUACCCG